rnacentral:rRNA from 1 species
CGCCUCUUGACCUACAUAAGAGGUCCAGCCUGCCCAGUGACUCUGUUCAACGGCCGCGGUAUCCUAACCGUGCGAAGGUAGCGUAAUCACUUGUUCUUUAAUUGUGGACUAGUAUGAAUGGCACCACGAGGGUUAUACUGUCUCCUCUUUCUAAUCAGUGAAACUAAUCUCCCCGUGAAGAAGCGGGGAUCUAACUAUAAGACGAGAAGACCCUAUGGAGCUUAAAACAUUCUGGCAGUUACCGCACAGCACUUAAUUUCCUGAACACUUACUUUUAAGGUAACAUGACUGCAAGUUUUUGGUUGGGGUGACCGCGGAGUAUAAAGUAACCUCCAUAUUGAAAGAAAUAUUUCUAAGCCAAGACCCACGCGUCUAAGCAUCAACACACUGACAUCCAUUGACCCGAUAUAAUUGAGCAACGAACCAAGUUACCCUAGGGAUAACAGCGCAAUCCACUUUAAGAGCCCCUAUCGCCAAGUGGGUUUACGACCUCGAUGUUGGAUCAGGGUGUCCCAGUGGUGCAGCCGCUACUAAAGGUUCGUUUGUUCAACGAUUAAAACCCU